GGGUUUGUAUUACUUGUUAUGCUUGUGCCGUUUAACGCGUGUAUGAGUAUAGCUUUAAGUGUGAUGGACGUUUUGCCGGUGAGGGAUAUGUCAUACUUGUAUGUUCAUAACUCUUAUUUAAACAAACCCAUCUUAGUGCUUUUCAUCGAGUGCUAAUGUGGGCCGGUACAAUUACUUUGAACAAAUUAGAGUGCUUAAAGCAGGCUCAAUUUAAUGAAAAUUAAAACGGGGUGAAUAUAUUUUGCAUGGAAUAAUGGAAUAGGACCUCUGUUCUACUUUCAUUGGUUUUUAGACCAAGAGGUAAUGAUUAAUAGAAGCAGUUGGGGGCAUUAGUAUUACGAGGCGAGAGGUGAAAUUCGUAGACCCUCGUAAGACUAACUUAAGCGAAAGCAUUUGCCAAGGAUGUCUUCAUUAAUCAAGAACGAAAGUUAGAGGAUCGAAGGCGAUCAGAUACCGCCCUAGUUCUAACCAUAAACGAUGCCAGCUAGCAAUUGAAUGUAGCUACUCACUUAGGUUCAUUCAGUCGCUUUCCGGGAAACCAAAGCUUUUGGGCUCCGGGGGAAGUAUGGUUGCAAAGCUGAAACUUAAAGGAAUUGACGGAAGGGCACCACCAGGAGUGGAGCCUGCGGCUUAAUUUGACUCAACACGCGAAAACUUACCAGGUCCGAACAUCCAUGAGUAAGACAGAUUGAUAGCUCUUUCUCGAAUCUAUGGGUGGUGGUGCAUGGCCGUUCUUAGUUCGUGGAGUGAUUUGUCUGGUUAAUUCCGAUAACGAACGAGACUCAAACGACUUUAAAUAGAUGCCUGCAGGAUUAUGACGUUGAAGUUUCAUAUUCCCCAAGUGGUGUUGCCGCAAGGUGAUGCUGUUUGGGUUCUUAUGUGGAAUCGAGUUAUACCUGUUUGGUUUGUCUUAAGAGGACACUUUGCUUCUUAAAUGGACAAAAUG
rnacentral:rRNA from 1 species